GUGCGCUUUGGCAGCACAUAAACUAAUAUUGAAAUGAUAAAGAGAAGAUUAGCAUGGCCCCUGUGCAAGGAUGACAUGCAAAUUCGUGAAGGGUUCCAUAUUUUU